UCGGGAAUUUUGGGCAAUGGGCGAAAGCCUGACCCAGCAACGCCGCGUGAAGGAUGAAGUAUUUCGGUAUGUAAACUUCGUAAGAAUAGGAAGAAUAAAUGACGGUACUAUUUGUAAGGUCCGGCUAACUACGUGCCAGCAGCCGCGGUAAUACGUAGGGACCAAGCGUUGUUCGGAUUUACUGGGCGUAAAGGGCGCGUAGGCGGUGUGUCAAGUCAGUUGUGAAAUCUCCGAGCUUAACUCGGAACGGUCAGAUGAUACUGCUUUGCUAGAGUGCAGAAGGGGCAAUCGGAAUUCUUGGUGUAGCGGUGAAAUGCGUAGAUAUCAGGAGGAACACCAAUGGCGAAGGCAGGUUCCUGGGCCAGCACUGACGCUCAUGCACGAAAGCGUGGGGAGCAAACAGGAUUAGAUACCCAUGUAGUCCCUGAGCGGGCUGGCAAGGCGCAU
rnacentral:rRNA from 1 species